CUACAGGCCUACACCUUGGAGAUACGGCACAUAAAAGGUCGUGACAACGUGGUAGCAGAUGCGUUGUCCCGGGCUUGUUGAAGCCCUGGGUGUUCUGGAUUAAGAGGGCCAGAUAUAAGCGACCCACAGGAUGCACAGAGGGCGACUCGCAGAGGGAGAGAGCUAUCGGCUGUACAUCGAGAAGGGCGUCUGCAGUCGUGGGUGUGGACUGGUUUGGCGACCUCCUCUUCCCCCUUCCUUCCACCAUGCUCUGGGCGCGUGGCACGGACUGGCGUCGCGUGCAGCGGAGCACCAUCUUUCGCUUUUUCUUUUACUUUUAGCCUAGUUUAAAUAAAUGCUUUUGUUUUGAUAUUUUAA